GGGGACUUAGCUCAGUGGUAGAGCAUUUGCCUAGCAAGUGCAAAGCCCUGGGUUCAGUCCUCA
rnacentral:tRNA from 1 species